AUAAAAUAAAAAUUAAGAAAAUGAAGUUUGUUUUAGAAUAAAGUAUCUGUGCAUCAUUUUCAUAACAGUCGAACAUCAUUUGCCCCAAAUUCUUAUUAAUGUAAAUCUUGAUGUUUUUUCUCCUUUUUCUUCUUAGUGGUGUGUUUGUGUGUGUGUGAGAGAGAGAGAGCGAGAGAGUCUGUGUUUCUUUAUUGUAAAGAGUGGGCAGAUGCGUUUAAAUUGUCAGGAAAAUAAUGCAAUACAAUUAAGGUUCUGAAAAUAUGCUUGAUCUUUUUGUUUUUUUUUGUUUUUUUUUCAUGCAAAAUGCUUUUAUUUUUUCAUUUGGUUAAGGGUGAAAUAAUGAUCUGGGAAUAAUCUUGAAUAUUCUUAAGAUUCACCGAACUAUAACCAGAAAAUCUAUCUACAUAACCACCAAGUCAGUUGUCCCUCAAAGUUUGAUAGUCUUUGAUAUUCGAAUUACAUGAUGCCUGGACUGGUGUCAGAUGGUCCAUAGGGGGCAGUGUUUGCCAUUACACAGAGUUCUGGUUCAAAGAGCCGUUUGAUGGCUGUUCUGUUGUUUUCUCUUCUUUAAAGACAUUAUUUAUGUGUUGUUGUUAUGAUAUUAAAUGCACACAUCACUCAGGAUAUUGAAUUCCUGAUCUGAAGUGUUUCCUGAGAAAAAGGUUGUCACUUUGUUCUGCUUCUUUGAACUCGGCCAGAUUGUGUGUAGAGCCUUUAUGCAAAAGUAUCAGACCAAAAAAAAAAUUAAAAAAAUCUGUUUUAAUGUUAUCAGAAAGCUAAAAAAAAAAAAAAAGAUAAUUUGGUACUCGAUACAAAUUGACAUUUUAGCGAAGGCUAGUUUUCCAGUCCAGUACAUGUGGCGUCCCUCAAAGCUCUGUCCUCGGACCAUCUUUGAUUGUGUAAUCUGUAACUGUAGAGAGGGCAUUAUGCAUGCACAAGUUAAUUAUUUGAAAAUGCAUUGAACUGGAUCACGUCAAAUUGAAUAUUGCGGCCCAGUCCAGUGAUGGGCAUGUAUGGUGGGGCACACAAUUUCUUUAUUUUAUGGAGCUCCUGUGUUAGCAAAUGGUUUAGUUUGAGUAUUUUCUUAUUUAAUCCUUGCCCCCUUAAAAAGUAAGAUCAAGCUUCACAUUGACAAAAAUGACCCCAGUCUAAACCUUAUUGUGAUUUACCUUGCCUUACACCACAUUGAGAGUUCUUGAAAAUAAUAAUAAUAAUUAAAAAUUUGUCGCAUCCUUUUUGUUUUAAUUGUAUAUAGAAAUUAAAUACACACAUUUAAAUGAAGUUUGCAGUACAGUUUCCAUAUUCUAUUGUGUGUUUCUUUUGAUUGUGGGUCACAAUCAAAAUAAUGACAUCAGUGGAGCCCUUGCAAUAAUAAUAAUCAGUGCGAUAACAGUGACACAUGUGAUGUCCAUCUAUAUUGAGGGCAUUUUGCUUUUUGUUUGUUUCCUACUGAAAACAGACAAGCACAUACACACAUUCAGAAACACACCAGAAAAAAGCAUGUUUGGUUUGUAUUGAUCAGUUUGAUUGGUAGGUAUUGAUUAUCAUUGCUGCAAUCAUGCCAUGCUGGAGGGAGGAUGUUUUCAGUGCACUUGAAGUUUGCUUUCUUUUCUUAUUUUGUCUUGAUUUCUUGCAUGCUGCUGUUUUUUUUUCUUCUUUUUCUAAGAGAGUUUUUACUCUCCUUCCCAACUUUGUAUAGACAGACAGUUGUGCUAAGUGUGACGGGUGGAUAAUGCUGGUGUGUUCUCCUGCAGUGAAUGCUUGUCAGGCAGGCAGUAAUACAGUACAUUACUGUAAGUGCUGAGUCAGACUUUAUGAUGUCAUCUCUGAAAGGGUGACUUUUAAUGACAUUUAAUGCAAAAUGUAACAUAUGUGAAUAAAAUAUACAGAUGCUCUGAUAUG
ensembl:lncRNA